UACGGAGGGUGCAAGCGUUAUCCGGAUUCACUGGGUUUAAAGGGUGCGUAGGUGGGCAGGUAAGUCAGUGGUGAAAUCUCCGAGCUUAACUCGGAAACUGCCGUUGAUACUAUUUGUCUUGAAUAUUGUGGAGGUAAGCGGAAUAUGUCAUGUAGCGGUGAAAUGCUUAGAUAUCGCUUGGAACGCCAAAGGUGAAAACAGGUUGCUGGGGUUGUGCCGACGCUGAGACACGAAAGCCAGGGGAGCAAACGGG
rnacentral:rRNA from 1 species